rnacentral:tRNA from 1 species
GAGGGUAGAGCUCAGUGGCAGAGUGCAUACCCAGCAUGCACAAGGUCCUGGGUUCAAUCCCCAGUACUUCCA